rnacentral:rRNA from 1 species
GACGAACGCUGGCGGCGUGCCUAAUACAUGCAAGUCGAACGAGUGGCGGACGGGUGAGUAAUGUCUGGGAAACUGCAUGAUGGAGGGGGAUAACUACUGGAAACGGUAGCUCAUACCGCAUACUAUCAGAUGUGCCCAGAUGGGAUUAGCUAUGUGGUGGGGCAACGGGUCACCAAGGCGACGAUCCCUAGCGGGUCUGAGAUGAGGACGAGCCACACGGGAACUGAGACACGGUCCAGACUCCUACGUGAGGCAGCAGUGGGGAAUAUUGCACAAUGGGCGCAAGCCUGAUGCAGCCUUGCCGGUUGUAUGAAGAAGGCCUUCGGGUUGUAAAGUACUUUCAGCGGGGAGGCGUUACCCGCAGAAGAAGCACCGGCUAACUCCGUGCCAGCAGCCGCGGUAAUAC